CUAUAGUUACCUACAACUAUGGCGGAAGGAG
rnacentral:ncRNA from 1 species